AUAUUAUUUUGCAUUUAUUUAAUGUACAUAAUUAUUGCGUGUAUUCGGUGCGCAUGCGUAAACGCUUUCCUAUGUUCAUGGCAAUCCAAGAUGGCCGCUCGUGAAUGUCUCUAGUCGAUGUGCACGUGUAAGAGCUAUGCUAUGUUCAUGGCGGUCCAAGAUGGCCGUUCGUUCUACAAUUCUAAUCCUUCACCACCGAGUACUUUAUUUGGAACAAUUAUAUAAAGCGUGUUGGUUAUUUUCUGGUUCUUCGCUACAUUUCCAACACUUAUCAUGAUUAUUUUUACUUAUCCUAGAAUUUUUCCUGUUGCCGUCUUGAUUGCUUCGACAAUGCCUGGUUCAGUAUUCUAUAAGCAUUCGCCUAACUUUGGUAGUGGGCUUCUUGUAACUGCGUCAGCUUUAAUGUGUAUCUUCCGAUGUUAUGAUUGGUUACCUUGGUGUUUAUUACCUUCGGUAUCUUCAUAUCAUCAUAUAUUAUGGUUUAUGAAAAUGGAUCCGUAGCAAAUCCUCGUGGAACUCUUGCUUGUAUACUUUAUUCUAUGAUAACUUGUUGCAUAUGGACUUUGUUAACUUAUAAGGUACCCUUUUGUUUGCUAAGACUAUUCCGCUAGUUUAAUUGAGAUAUUGUGAAGCUUUAACACUAUUAUUUUCUUCCAUAUAUACAUAUAUUGAAGCAGUUGAGGUUAGUUUAUUCAUUCGUUGACAGUUGUAUACUAUGUUCUAUGGAGUGGGUCCACAACUUGUUUUGUUUCUUUUUAUGAUGAAUAAUUGUUCACGAGGUAUCUUUCCACUUUUACUGUUUUGUAAUUAUUUACUGGAUUACUCAUUUUGGAAUCGUUCUGGUGGUCUAUUUCGAUGAUGUGCCAGUUUUAAUUUAUUCAAGUGUACUGUUCGAGGGAGUCCUUUUACUUCAAUCUUGACGUUUUGAUUUUGCAAAAUUUCUAACACUUUAUAUGGUCCAGUAUAUUGAUCAGAGAAUUUUCCUUUACUAGGUUCUUUUAGUAGAUAUACCAAAUCUCCUGUUUUAAAAUUUUGAGGGUUGAUUCGUCGGUCGUAAUAUUCCUUUGAUCUUAAUUUAGAUUUUAUCAAGUUUUCCCUUGCCAUUUGCUGCACGGUGUUGAUUUUAUUGAACAAGUCUGUGAGAUAUUCUGCGUAUGUUGGUUCUAUGUUUUCUUCGAUUAUCACUUCACCAGUAGGUUCUCUGGCCAAGUGUCCAAAAACCAAUUCAUGUGGUGAAAAUUUCGUUCCUUCGUGUACAGAGGUAUUGUAGGAAAACAUGGCUAGUUCCACCCAUUCGUCCCAAUUUCUGGAAUUUUCAAUAUAUAACUUCAGGUAUUCUGUCAAUACAUGGUGAGAUCUUUCGAUUGAGCCGUUACUUUGUGGGUGAUAUGCCGACGUGGUGUAUUGUUUAAUGCGGA
rnacentral:misc_RNA from 1 species